AUGCUGACGAGUCCCAAAUAGGACGAAACGCGUGUCCUGGAU
rnacentral:hammerhead_ribozyme from 1 species